CUUCUAAUGAUGAUACUUCUGUCCAGUUCUGCUGCUGAAGGAAGGGCGAUGACACUUCGUGAUGCUGAGGAAG
ensembl:snoRNA small nucleolar RNA, C/D box 38A